AGUGAACGCUGGCGGUAGGCCUAACACAUGCAAGUCGAACGGCAGCACAGUAAGAGCUUGCUCUUACGGGUGGCGAGUGGCGGACGGGUGAGGAAUACAUCGGAAUCUACUUUUUCGUGGGGGAUAACGUAGGGAAACUUACGCUAAUACCGCAUACGACCUACGGGUGAAAGCAGGGGAUCUUCGGACCUUGCGCGAUUGAAUGAGCCGAUGUCGGAUUAGCUAGUUGGCGGGGUAAAGGCCCACCAAGGCGACGAUCCGUAGCUGGUCUGAGAGGAUGAUCAGCCACACUGGAACUGAGACACGGUCCAGACUCCUACGGGAGGCAGCAGUGGGGAAUAUUGGACAAUGGGCGCAAGCCUGAUCCAGCCAUACCGCGUGGGUGAAGAAGGCCUGCGGGUUGUAAAGCCCCUUUGUUGGGAAAGAAAAGCAGCAGGUUAAUACCCCGCUGUUCUGACGGUACCCAAAGAAUAAGCACCGGCUAACUUCGU
rnacentral:rRNA from 1 species